rnacentral:rRNA from 1 species
ACACGACUACAUUAGAUACCCGGGUAGUCCAGGGUGUAAACGAUACUCGCUAGGUGUCGGCCACGGUGCGACCGUUGUCGGUGCCGUAGGGAAGCCGUGAAGCGAGCCACCUGGGAAGUACGGCCGCAAGGCUGAAACUUAAAGGAAUUGGCGGGGGAGCACCACAACGGGUGGAGCUUGCGGUUUAAUUGGAUUCAACGCCGGAAAUCUUACCGGGACCGACAGCAACAUGAAGGCCAGGCUGAAGACUUUGCCGGAUUAGCUG